CUAUACAUGCAGUCGAGCGACAGAUAAGGAGCUUGCUCCUUUGACGUUAGCGGCGGACGGGUGAGUAACACGUGGAUAACCUACCUAUAAGACUGGGAUAACUUCGGGAAACCGGAGCUAAUACCGGAUAACAUAUUGAACCGCAUGGUUCAAUAGUGAAAGGCGGCUUUGCUGUCACUUAUAGAUGGAUCCGCGCCGUAUUAGCUAGUUGGUAAGGUAACGGCUUACCAAGGCAACGAUACGUAGCCGACCUGAGAGGGUGAUCGGCCACACUGGAACUGAGACACGGUCCAGACUCCUACGGGAGGCAGCAGUAGGGAAUCUUCCGCAAUGGGCGAAAGCCUGACGGAGCAACGCCGCGUGAGUGAUGAAGGUCUUCGGAUCGUAAAACUCUGUUAUCAGGGAAGAACAAAUGUGUAAGUAACUGUGCACAUCUUGACGGUACCUGAUCAGAAAGCCACGGCUAACUACGUGCCAGC
rnacentral:rRNA from 1 species